GAUGAACGCUGGCGGCGUGCCUAAUACAUGCAAGUCGAGCGAACGGAUGAGAAGCUUGCUUCUCUGAUGUUAGCGGCGGACGGGUGAGUAACACGUGGAUAACCUACCUAUAAGACUGGGAUAACUUCGGGAAACCGGAGCUAAUACCGGAUAAUAUUUUGAACCGCAUGGUUCAAAAGUGAAAGACGGUCUUGCUGUCACUUAUAGAUGGAUCCGCGCUGCAUUAGCUAGUUGGUAAGGUAACGGCUUGCCAAGGCAACGAUGCAUAGCCGACCUGAGAGGGUGAUCGGCCACACUGGAACUGAGACACGGUCCAGACUCCUACGGGAGGCAGCAGUAGGGAAUCUUCCGCAAUGGGCGAAAGCCUGACGGAGCAACGCCGCGUGAGUGAUGAAGGUCUUCGGAUCGUAAAACUCUGUUAUUAGGGAAGAACAUAUGUGUAAGUAACUGUGCACAUCUUGACGGUACCUAAUCAGAAAGCCACGGCUAACUACGUG
rnacentral:rRNA from 1 species